GAGAAGCUGGCACAGUGGGCAGAGACUUCUAGUCAGGCAGCAGCACCCACAGUGACCAUCUGGGAACAGAGCCUCUCAUCAGCCACGCUUCGGGCAGAUGUGAAGGCCCUGGAAGGGCACUGGUUAGAGACUCAAGACGCUGGGCUGAAAGCCAUAUGGGAGCCAGCUGUGCAGACCUUGUGUGGCCUGGCAGAGGAGGCAGCCACUGAGAAACUGAGGCCUGAGAGUGACUGGAACUCAGGUUUCCAGGAGUUCCUGUGGGGACAGCAAACCCUGGCAGUGUCAUGGCUAGGAAGGAGAGGAGACACGGCCUAUGGGAGCGCCUGCCACUUGGGACUUCGGAUGGACCUGCAGGGCUGCCGGGCUGCCAUGUCUCGCCCCUCCUGUGAGAGGAUAUACACCCUGGAAGGGAUGCUGCUGCUUGUCGCUCACCUUGUAGAGAAGUUCGUGUUGUGCCCCCAAAGGCUGAGCCAGGCCGAACCCUUGGGGACCAAGGUGGUACAAGCCCAAAGCUGGGUGCUAGAGGAGCUGCCUGGGGCUCAGACCCCAAAGUACUGGACUCAAGCCCCAAGGGAGAUACUGGCUUUGAGGAGUCUUGACCAGGGUCCGCCUGGGGAUCUGGGGAGUAGAGCUAAAGCUUGCCUCCUGGGGAAGAUUCCAGAAGAACUGAGCUGGAGGCCAUGGUGGGCAGAGGUCAUG
rnacentral:lncRNA from 1 species